rnacentral:lncRNA from 1 species
AAUAAAACAUUUUUAUUGAAUAUCCAUGUAAUAUGUUAAGUCAUUUUUUUUUUUAACAACAAUCAGAAAACUACUGUGGGGCCACUACACAAAGUGAAACAAAAUUGAUACCACCUCAUCAAAAAUGAAGGUAAAUACAGCUAAAGUAGUUGGCUCGCGGGCCACGAGCCAUAUGGCAGAGGAGAACACCCCAACAUUUCUACAAGGUACAGAGGAAACCCACACAUAGAAACACUCAAGCAGGCAGUAAAUAUACACAAAGGCAACUAGGAUCUUUCUAGAGCAUCAGCUUCUAAUAAUCGACACAGCUUUGUCAGAAAGGUACACGUGGCGUAUCUGAGGAUGAGUCUUGGUCUUCAAGCAGGUUCGGUCACUGACGUGUGAGACAUGGCACGGCCCCCGCUAACUCCGUGGUGACAGUCCCAUGUCUGGCAGUGUUGCAAGAGAAUGCAUUAGUAGUAGUUUAAUGCGAGAACUAAUGGGUAUUCGGCGGCUCGAACCUGCUUGCCUUAGUGGUGGCUCAGUGUGAACAACUGGAAGCUGAAUAUGGUGAAAUUAAAUGUCAGUUUGUGAUGCCGAAGGAACUUUUACAAGUUGGCCGACUCUCUCCCUUCGGUUGGGUUUGGUCUUUGCGACUGGGAAGAUCGUCAUUGGACUCUUCUGCUCAAACUGAUAUUUAAUCUCACAUCGUGACUUGUGCGUCUUCCGUUAUCUGGGGUUUUUAAGAAAGGAUGGACCAUCCACAGAAGAGGGAGAGGCGUCUGCCCCAGCCCCGAUGAGAUGGCCGUGACCGGGCCGGAAGGCCAAAGGCUUGCCUCUUCUUUGAUGAGAAAAGAAUAAGGACGGGGAAUUCUAGUUUCACCGGGAAACAGCCAACCCCAUGUGGGAAGCCUCCCGUCAGCCCUUUUGGAGCUCUCUGUAGUUCUUAAAGAACGUGGCCUGAUACCCUAAUAUCUGAACACCAGGCUGACGCCUGCUUCCCCUCCGUUCUGUUUUGGUGGCCGUGGGGAUGAACCCUCACUCAGGGCCUCGCCGCCGACUUGGCCUAGGCGUUCAAAGGGGCCCCAGAAGCCAGCGGAGGCGGCGUGAGAUAACGGGCUGCCCUUCCACAGAGGGGUUGUCUAGCAUAGUGGGGAAAAAGUAUGGAAUAUUGCACAGUGCUUGACAAAAUGCUGCGUGUCCCACCCCGGCCUAUGUAUCUUUCUUGUCCUAUGCAUAGCUUCUCAGUUCUGAAUUGGUCCUUUGUAAUGAGAACUGUUUGUGCUACACACACCUUGGGCAGUGCAGUAGAAGGGAAUGGCAGUAUUGUUACAACAUCACUACGGAAUAAAUUGAGUGCUAUCCACUGAGGAAACUACGUGUCUAAGCACACACGGCAGUCACAGUGUUACACAGAGCAGUCCUUGAAGACUCUUAUGGAAUGACUAGUAGCUUCAUAAUAGUGCCAUUUACUACAUAAUGACAUUGAAAACAUUUAAAAACUCCU